UACGUAGGUGACAAGCGUUGUCCGGAUUUACUGGGCGUAAAGAGCGCGCAGGCGGUCGAUCAAGUCGAGUGUGAAAGCCCCCGGCUCAACUGGGGAGGGUCAUUCGAUACUGAUCGACUCGAAGGCAGGAGAGGGUAGUGGAAUUCCCGGUGUAGGGGUGAAAUGCGUAGAUAUCGGGAGGAACACCAGUGGCGAAGGCGACUACCUGGCCUGUUCUUGACGCUGAGGCGCGAAAGCUAGGGGAGCAAACGGG
rnacentral:rRNA from 1 species